rnacentral:rRNA from 1 species
UACGAAGGGGGCUAGCGUUGUUCGGAUUUACUGGGCGUAAAGCGCACGUAGGCGGAUCUUUAAGUCAGAGGUGAAAUCCCAAGGCUCAACCUUGGAACUGCCUUUGAUACUGGGGAUCUUGAGUCCGGGAGAGGUGAGUGGAACUGCGAGUGUAGAGGUGAAAUUCGUAGAUAUUCGCAAGAACACCAGUGGCGAAGGCGGCUCACUGGCCCGGUACUGACGCUGAGGUGCGAAAGCGUGGGAGCAACAGG